AUAACCGUAGCUGCGAAAUUCUGUGUCGACCUUAUUACCGUUUUUGACUUUCAUGUUUUGUUGACAAAUAUUUAUUCACCAUGUGGUAUGAAAUAUUGCCUACACUUGGUUUAUUUAGUACAUUUUUAAUUCUCCCAUGUUUCACUCCAUGGGUGGUUCAUGUCUUAUAUCGUGGCGUUCCCCAUAGGCGUACAUCCCAAGAGCCAGAAGACAGAAGAUUAACAACGAGAGAUGAGCGAUUAAGUGGCUAUUAUCUGAAAAUGCAGGGCCUUGAUUUCAUUCCUGACCCAAAAUAAAGUAUGCAUCAAGCUUGAUUUUUUUAUGUAGAAAAUAUGAAAGCUGAAAAUUUAUGUUAUAAUGUACUUUGUUACAAAGAAAAAACUGAAUAAAAUUUAGAAAGUAUACUA